rnacentral:rRNA from 1 species
CCUACGGGAGGCAGCAGUGGGGAAUAUUGGACAAUGGGGGAAACCCUGAUCCAGCAACGCCGCGUGAGUGAAGAAGUAUUUCGGUACGUAAAGCUCUAUCAGCAGGAAAGAAAAUGACGGUACCUGACUAAGAAGCCCCGGCUAACUACGUGCCAGCAGCCGCGGUAAUACGUAGGGGGCAACCGUUAUCCGGAUUUACUGGGUGGAAAGGGAGCGUAGACGGCAGCGCAAGUCUGGAGGGAAAUGCCGGGGCCCAACCCCGGAACUGCUCUGGAAACUGUGAAGCUGGAGUGCAGGAGAGGUAAGGGGAAGUCCUGGUGUAGCGGUGAAAUGCGUAGAUAUCAGGAGGAACACCGGCGGCGAAGGCGGCUUACUGGACUGUAACUGACGUUGAGGCUCGAAGGCGUGGGGAGCAAACAGGAUUAGAUACCCGAGUAGUC